ensembl:lncRNA
GGCAGGUAGCCUAGUGGUUAGAAGGGUCGGCAGGUAGCCUAGUGCUUAGAAGGGGGAGGCAGGCAGGUAGCCUAGUGCUUAGAAGGGGGAGGCAGGUAGCCUAGUGCUUAGAAGGGGGAGGCAGGUAGCCUAGUGCUUAGAAGGGGGAGGCAGGUAGCCUAGUGCUUAGAAGGGGGAGGCAGGUAGCCUAGUGGUUAGAAGGGGGAGGCAGGUAGCCUAGUGGUUAGAAGGGGGAGGCAGGUAACCUAGUGGUUAGAGCGCUGGCACUAGUAACCGCUAGAUCAAAUCCCAGGGCUGACAAGGUAAACAUCUGUCGUUCUGCCCCUGAACAAGGCAGUUAACCCACUGUUCCUAGGCCGUCGUUGAAAAUAAG